rnacentral:rRNA from 1 species
AUGGCCUCCGAGCUAGGGCUACCGCCGCCGGCGACACGCCCGCCGGCGACACCCACCACCAUUGCCUCAAUCAGCGACGACCUCCUCUGCGAGAUCUUCCUCCUCCUUCCCUCCCUACCGAGCCUCGUCCGGGCCGCCCUCGCCUGCCGCACCUUCCUCAACGCCGUCCGCUCGUCCCCCGCCUUCCGCCGCCGCUUCCGGGCGCUCCACCCGCCGCAGCUCCUUGGAUUCUUCGGAGAACCCCGCCGCGCCCCCGUACCUCCCUUCGUCCCCCUCCGCAGCCGCUCCGACCCGGACCUCGCCGCCGCCGUCCGCGGUUCCGAUUUCUUCCUCACCCGUCUCCCGGAAGACAGCGGCGACUCCACCCUCGGGUGGAAGCUACAGAGCUUCCACGGCGGCUACGUCGUCCUCGUCAAGGAUACCACCCACCAGAUCGCUGCCUACAACCCUGUCACGCAGGCACUGCAUCUGUUACCCCGGCCGCCCGAGGAGAUCCUGUUCUCCGACUCUCUUGAGGCCCACAUUGUCUUCUCCGAAGAGGACCAGCGGGUGUUCCGUAUGGUCUGUGUCCAGCACCAGAGCACGCGCCGGCGGGCGCCGGCUUGCGUAGCCGUCUUCUCAACGGCGACAAGGGAGUGGCAGGUUUUCCCAUGGGUGGAGACCUCGCCGCCGCCGCCGCCACACGACUUUAUCAAGUUUUACCCUGGCACGCAGCUGAAUGGAUUCGUUUAUUGGAAACACACGAGUCGACCCUAUGUACUUGUUCUCAACACUGCGACAGUGCAAUUCUCCAGAGUGGAUUUGCCGCCAUUCUUGGGACAGAUUAGCUCUACGCGAUUCAGACUUGGUCAGACCAAGGAUGGGAUGCUAUGUAUGGUUGCCAUAGAUCUCUCUGAUGCAGAGAGAGGAACGCUUCAUGUUUGGUUUCGGAGAGCUGAUGAUGAUGGUGUUGAGAAAUGGGUUCUGGGAGAUACUUUUCUGCUCACUACAUUUAUUGAUGCCACUAAGGAUGAUCCCACAGUGCACAUUGAGGCGGUUAUCGAUGGCUUUGUUUAUUUGUCAACUAAGUAUGAUGAGCAUACUGAAUCUCUGCUAUCCCUCUGCCUGGAAACGGCAAAGCUAAACAAGCUCUUUGGUGAUAGUACAUAUGUAAGCCCCGCACAUCCCUACAUCAUGGCGUGGCCUCCUUCUUUGGUGUGCAACAAGGAGGAUUCACAAACCAUGGUUAGUGGAGAGAGUGUUGCGGAUGCUGCUCCUGUGGGCACAAGAGAAACUUCCUCUGUUCAUGUCUCAGCGUCGGAAUCCUACAAAUUUGAUUAA